AUGGCGGAAAACGAGGAGCCUCGAGCAAAGAACUGGCUUUUCCAGCUAAAUGAGGAUUUUGACCAGAACACGUUUGCGAGGAUGGUGGUAACCCUUUGGUCGAUUUGGUAUGCACGGAGACAAGCCAUUCAUGAAGGAGUAUUCCAAUCGCCCGGGCAAACUUCAGCUUUCGUUGAUCGCUACAUUGCUGAACUGGAUCAUGUUCCCUCACAAGUGGCGAGGCAAAAUCCUGGAACGGGGAGCCGGCAGAGUGCUCCUCGGCAAUGGUUACCUUCGGUGGAGGGGGUAGUUAAAAUCAACGUCGACGGUGCGUUGGCGCGUAACAAAAGAGGAGGUGCAGUAGCGGCUGUGUGUCGCGACCACACUGGAACAUAUCUUGGAUCCUCCGUGGUGGUAUACAAUGGGAUUAGAGAUCCAACUAUUCUGAAAACUUAUGGGUGCAGGAAAGCGUUGGCAUUGGCGGAUGAUCUUCUCGAGAAGAGGCUAAAGGUGGCAUCAGACUGCUUGACAGUGGUGAAUGAUAUUAAUAAGGGCACGGGAGGAGCUCAUGCUGCUAUCGUUCAUGAAAUAACAAGUAAUCCUCGGUACCCCGCUCGUGUGCGACACAGCGAGGGACGGGCAGAUCGAGCAUGCCGCAAAACGCGGAACGAGAUCCGGCCUCCCCGCACAUCGCGUAGCGUCAGCACCGCGCCUCCACCGCGCCGCCCAUGCCCCUCGCCCGCCAGCAGGGACCAAGGCCGCGACCGUCCAGCGCCGCCGCACGACGGCAACCGCGACCUCCACGCAGCGCCCCCGUCACGCGCCCCCGCGAGCCUCCCUCCCGGCACCUUCCGCGGCGAGUGGGCCCGCCGCCACCGCGGCGACGGCCAGCGGCAGCGUUGGUUGGUGGGGAUGUAG
rnacentral:rRNA from 1 species